ensembl:lncRNA PTPRG-AS1 PTPRG antisense RNA 1
GUGAGGUGUAGUCGCGGCAACCAGGAGGUGCACCCACCACUAGAAUUUGAACAUCCUAAGAACAGGUAUUUUUGUCUCUGCUUUGCUGAUGUAUCCUCAGCAACCGGAACUGCCUGACAUGUCUGUGAUAGCUGCCCUUCUCAUUAUAUUGCCCACAGCUGAUCCUUUCUGUGAGACACCAGGCUGUUGAGGAAGAAUCUAUGGCAACAUUGUAUCUAUUAAUAUACAGCUUCUGUAUUUAUCAGGCAAUGGUGCAAGACCCACUCGAGCACGCUCAGCUAUCAUAUGGAAAAAACAAAAACACCACAUUUGCCUUAUUAUACACACAGAACCAACAGCUCUUUCUGAGAUUUGCUUGAUGAAUAACAUAUCCUCCUGGCUUCCCUUUCUAAGACUUAUCUAUAUUUUUAAACAAGCUAAAGUGUUAUCAGCUGAGGCAGAAUGUAAAAUGAAAUUUUGCUGCACAUACCCAGAAGGACACAGGCAUUGUAGGAAUACAGUUUUACUGUGGGAGAGAUUUUUACAGCAGAUCAAUAACAGAAUACUUUAUAUGGACACAACAGAGGAUUUUAGAUAACUUUUGACUCUAGUUUGUUAUUCCUACAAUUAUACCAACAUAUACUUUGUCCUUUUACCAACCCCUUUCUCCAUGUCUUUCUGCUCAUGAUGGUCUUAGAAAAGAGUGGCCUUUUUCAUUAGAGAUAAAUCUCCCAAAUGAUCACCCAUGUCUAUGCCUACAGCACACAGACAGCAUCCUCUGCAAUGUCCUUAGCUAUUUAUACAAAGGUCACCACCAAUCAACAGUGCCUUGAUCUCAAUAGCC